rnacentral:tRNA from 1 species
GCCGGGUUAGCUCUGUUGGUUAGAACAUGGUGCUAAUAACACCAAGUUCACAGGUUCAAUCCCUGCUUACUGCA